rnacentral:rRNA from 1 species
AAAUCUGGCCUCGGCCCGAGUUGUAAUUUGCAGAGGAUGCUUCUGGCGCGGUGCCUUCCGAGUUCCCUGGAACGGGACGCCACAGAGGGUGAGAGCCCCGUAUGGUCGGACACCAAGCCUGUGUGAAGCUCCUUCGACGAGUCGAGUAGUUUGGGAAUGCUGCUCUAAAUGGGAGGUAAAUCUCUUCUAAAGCUAAAUACCGGCCAGAGACCGAUAGCGCACAAGUAGAGUGAUCGAAAGAUGAAAAGCACCUUGAAAAGGGGGUUAAAUAGUACGUGAAAUUGUUGAAAGGGAAGCACUUGUGACCAGACUUGGGCCGGGCGGCUCAUCAGGGGUUCUCCCCUGUGCACUCCGCCCGGCACAGGCCAGCAUCGGUUCUCGUGGGGGGAUAAGACCGUCAGGAACGUAGCACCCUCCGGGGUGUGUUAUAGCCUGGCGGACGAUACCCCCGUGGGGACCGAGGUUCGCGCUCCGCAGGGAUGCUGGCGUAAUGGUCACCAGUGACCCGUCUUGAAACACGGACCAAGGAGUCGUCCAUUAGAGCGAGCGUUUGGGUGUAAAACCCGCACGCGUAAUGAAAGUGAACGCAGGUGAGAGCUUCGGCGCAUCAUCGACCGAUCCUGAUGUUCUCGGAAGGAUUUGAGUAAGAGUUUUAACGGACGGACCCGAAAGACAGUGAACUAUGCUUGUAUAGGGUGAAGCCAGAGGAAACUCUGGUGGAGGCUCGCAGCGGUUCUGACGUGCAAAUCGAUCGUCAAAUAUGAGCAUGGGGGCGAAAGACUAAUCGAACUGUCUAGUAGCUGGUUACCGCCGAAGUUUCCCUCAGGAUAGCAGUGUUGAUCUUCAGUUUUAUGAGGUAAAGCGAAUGAUUAGGGACUCGGGGGCGCUAUAUAGCCUUCAUCCAUUCUCAAACUUUAAAUAUGUAAGAAGCCCUUGUUACUUAGUUGAACGUGGGCAUUCGAAUGUACCAACACUAGUGGGCCAUUUUUGGUAAGCAGAACUGGCGAUGCGGGAUGAACCGAACGCGGGGUUAAGGCGCCAGAGUGUACGCUCAUCAGACACCACAAAAGGCGUUAGUACAUCUUGACAGCAGGACGGUGGCCAUGGAAGUCGGAAUCCGCUAAGGACUGUGUAACAACUCACCUGCCGAAUGUACUAGCCCUGAAAAUGGAUGGCGCUCAAGCGUACCGCCCAUACCCCGCCCCCAGGGUAGAAACGAUGCCCUGGGGAGUAGG